rnacentral:lncRNA from 1 species
ACUGAGAUGAGACAAUAAUAUAAACAACAACAAUAAAUACCAUUUAGUUGAUUGAUAAACUUGCAUAAUCACACAAUGCAUGUUUAUUAACUGUCAGUCACCAUUAAGGAGAGUUCUAGAUCAUUCGUGAGAGUGAUUUAAACAAUGCCUGGUGGACUUGGCCUAGCAUUAGUAUUGGGUGCAUUCGCAUUUUCUGUAUUUUGGACGACCAAGUUUAUACAGAAAGUUUACUACACUACCGAUAACAAAACUUCGAAAUUCAAUGAAGGCAAAAUAUUAUUUACAUUACCUGUAGAAUAUGUUGAGUAUAAAGACUGAUGCUUUGUCUAUACGAUUCUGUAUAAUGGUACUCUUGACUGGAACAAUAUUAUUUACCCAAUAUAUGGUAACACAAGAUAAAAAAUUAUUAAGUAAUGUAAGGUUCCUAUCAACUGAUGAUUAUUAUGCAGAACCGUUCCAAAUUAGUGAUGGAAGGUUUACAAACAACAAUAAAAGUAUAAUGCUUUGAAUGUUGCUCGAGAUUUUUUUAUCUUUAAAGAUUAUUUUAUAACUAAAUUAGUAAAGUUACAAAACUUUUAAGAUAAUUAAGGAUGUUCAAAUAAAAUAA